GUUCAUGAACCAAGCGGAGCCGAGGAUUAGCUGAGAGCUCAACCUUGAUGAUAUCUAUGUGAGGAUGUUAGAGCAGAGUCUCUGUCAACUGUUCAGCUCAGCUGUAGUCAGAGAUGAGUCAUACAGCUCCAGUUCACUGAUCAACACCUCUGCCGCAGCCCCCUGGCACUGUUUAACACACACACAGACACACACACACAACCCUGUGUCAAUCUGUCAGAAACAAAUGGGGUGAGGUACUGUAAGGGGACUGUUCAGCCCAAACAGCAGUGACCUCAGCCUGUACCCUCCGACACCCUCUGAUACUGUAAAACCCUCCAUCAUACAUUUAUUUAUCUUUGCACCUGGCUAUGAUUGUAGUUCAUCUGAAAACUAUAUAUUUGUAAUUAUGGAUAAAUUUAUUUUUAAAGGACCAGCAUGACAGAAAAAAUGCUUAAUGAGAGUAAUUAAGCCUCGUGCAGCAAACAAUGGAAGCAGACUGAAAAUGUGGGCAAAAUAUAAAGUGGUUCUGAUUGGCAUGAGUUGUUUGGUUUAUUUUAUUACUUUUUUAAUGGGGUUGGGGGGAUAAAAAAAACAACUAAAUGAAACGAGAACAAAAAAGUUUUUCCAUGCAUGUCUGGUGCGUAUGGAGAAAGCUCAUACUAAUUUUCUGAGCAAACGUGUUUAGUUUUGCUUGAAUGUGGUCUUUGGGCUUUGAUUUGGGAUUUAAAUUGUCAAAUACUUUUAUGAAGGUCGGGCAGAUCGUUGCUCUGGAUUAGUGUUUUGUAUGAAACAGCUAAAAUAAGCUAAUUAACAUUUUGCCCAUUUGUCCAUUGGACAAAAAGUUUGUGUGU